ensembl:snoRNA
UGCGCCUGGCCUGGGUAGAGUGGCAUCUGACUGGCAGUGCCACCUCACAUCAUCCAGGGACAAAGCAACCCCUUGUUUACCCCAGCUUGGCUUUUGGUCAGUGGCCAUGCCUGAUUCACGCUUUGGACAUCUGG